rnacentral:rRNA from 1 species
AGUGAACGCUGGCGGUAGGCCUAACACAUGCAAGUCGAACGGCAGCACAGUAAGGGCUUGCUCUUACGGGUGGCGAGUGGCGGACGGGUGAGGAAUACAUCGGAAUCUACUUUUUCGUGGGGGAUAGCGUAGGGAAACUUACGCUAAUACCGCAUACGACCUACGGGUGAAAGCAGGGGAUCUUCGGACCUUGCGCGAUUGAAUGAGCCGAUGUCGGAUUAGCUAGUUGGCGGGGUAAAGGCCCACCAAGGCGACGAUCCGUAGCUGGUCUGAGAGGAUGAUCAGCCACACUGGAACUGAGACACGGUCCAGACUCCUACGGGAGGCAGCAGUGGGGAAUAUUGGACAAUGGGCGCAAGCCUGAUCCAGCCAUACCGCGUGGGUGAAGAAGGCCUUCGGGUUGUAAAGCCCUUUUGUUGGGAAAGAAAAGCAGCAGGUUAAUACCCCGCUGUUCUGGCGGUACCCAAAGAAUAAGCACCGGCUAACUUCGUG